rnacentral:tRNA from 1 species
GCAGAUAUGGUGGAAUUGGCAGACACGCUAGGUUCAGGUCCUAGUGAGGGCAACUUCAUGCAGGUUCGAAUCCUGUUAUCUGCACCA